AUAAAGCCUUUCUUUCUCUCUCAUGCCAACCCAUUUUCUCUUCUUCUCCAAAACCCACGGCCAUAAAACCCUCAAAACCUACCCAUAGCCCCCAUUGCUUGGAGGAAGCUAUUGCCGGAAAAAGCUUAUGGAAGUCAUGCCGAAGAAGCCCCAUGGAAGCUAUGGUCAGUAAAGCCGAAGCCACCUCCAAGAAACUCCCGUGAAAAUCAUCUCUCUAGGUUUUGGUAAGAGCUACAUUCUUCAAUGUUGUGGAAAUUUGUUUAGAAGCUAUAGAAAUAAAAUAAAGGCCAAGUAUUAUAACCCUUAUAAUACAAAUGAGGAGAGAUUGUGCCAUCAACCUCCACACUUAUCAGAUGAUGAUUGGAGGUGGCUCAUCCACUUUUGGGGUACACUUGAGGCCAAGGAUAUCUCAGACAAAAACAAGGCAAAUAGGGCAAAGCAAGUGAUAAAGCAUACAUCAAGAUAAAAAAUUUAUGCUCAAAUUCGAUAUGAACAGGUUGAAAAUUUAUUAUUAAUAUGAUUUGUUUGUACAUAAAUAAUUCAUCAUAAAUAACUCUAUUGUUUUACUUGUAAGAAUAAGCACAAAAGAAGGAGGAUCGAAGUGAGCCCAAUAGAAUUGAGAUGUUUGCCUUGACACACACAAGAAAAGAUGAGACGCUUGUUGAUGAUCAUUCUAAGGAGAUUAUGGAUCAAUUUCAGCAAUUACUAUCCCAACCUAAGGGGACAUCUUCUUCUACUUCUGCAUCAUCUAGAGCAUCUACAUCUGUAGCAUUUACAUAUGUAGAUGAGAUAUAUACUUAAGUCAUGGGUCCAGAGAGGCAUGGUCGUGUUCGAGGGUAUGGAUUUGGUCCUACUCCUACCUCAAUCUUUGGUUCUACUAGUAGAAGGCGAUUAGGAGUUAUUCUUUCAACACAAAUUGAAAACGACCAAGAGAUGCUAAUAGCUGCAGAACAAAAGUUUACAACUGCAACUGAAGAACUCUCAAAUAUGAAAGAGGAACUCUCACAUGUGAAAGAAACAUUUGAAGAAAGGUUGAUAGAAGUUCAAAGGAAGACACGAGAAAAAGUGAAAGAAGAGUUUGAAGAAAAAAUGAUGGAAAUGCAAAGAAAAAUGCAAGCACAAAUGCAAGCACAAAUUCAAGAACAAAUGAUGCAACAAUUUUAGCAAAAGCAGUAGAAAUUUGAAGAUUUUGCUACAUCUUUAUAUGAUAGAUUCUCUUAACUUUUUUGAAAAUUAUGCUACUUAUUUAUAUGAUAGAUUCUUCUAACUUUUUUUUGCUUUCUAUGACUAUUAUGUAAUGUUUGGUUGAUUUGUUAUAUUAUGUUAGAAUGUGAAACUAAAUUUGAAUCUC